CACGUAGGGGACGAGCGUUGUCCGGAUUCAUUGGGCGUAAAGCGCGCGUAGGCGGCGCGGUAAGUCGGGUGUGAAAUCUCGGAGCUCAACUCCGAAACUGCAUUCGAUACUGCCGUGCUUGAGGACUGGAGAGGAGACUGGAAUUUACGGUGUAGCGGUGAAAUGCGCAGAUAUCAGGAAGAACACCAAUGGCGAAGGCAGCUCUCUGGGACGGUACUGACGCUGAGACGCGAAAGCGUGGGGAGCGAACAGG
rnacentral:rRNA from 1 species